rnacentral:rRNA from 1 species
UACCAGCACCCCGAGUAGUCGGGACGAUUAUUGGGCCUAAAGCAUCCGUAGCCUGUUCUGCAAGUCCUCCGUUAAAUCCACCCGCUUAACGGAUGGGCUGCGGGGGAUACUGCAGAGCUAGGAGGCGGGAGAGGCAAACGGUACUCAGUGGGUAGGGGUAAAAUCCAUUGAUCUACUGAAGACCACCAGUGGCGAAGGCGGUUUGCCAGAACGCGCUCGACGGUGAGGGAUGAAAGCUGGGGGAGCAAACCGGAUUAGAUACCCGAGUAGUCC